GAUGAAGAACGUAGCGAAAUGCGAUAAGUAAUGUGAAUUGCAGAAUUCAGUGAAUCAUCGAAUCUUUGAACGCAUCUUGCGCUCCUUGGUAUUCUGAGGAGCAUGCCUGUUUGAGUGUCAUUAAAUUCUCAACUACACUGACUUUGAAUUGGUGUGGCUUGGAUUUGGGGGGAAAAUUGUUGUGGGCUUUUUGUAUAGUCUGCUCCCCUGAAAUUGAUUAGCGGUACCUUUGUGGAACUGUCUACAGGUGUGAUAAUUAUCUACAUCUUAGACAUCUGCUGGAAUGCUGCUUUCUAAACCUUACUUGUAUUGACAAUCUUGACCUCAAAUCAGGUAGGACUACCCGCUGAACUUAAGGAUAUCAAUAAGCGGAGGA
rnacentral:misc_RNA from 1 species